rnacentral:rRNA from 1 species
UACGAAGGGUGCAAGCGUUAAUCGGAAUUACUGGGCGUAAAGCGCGCGUAGGUGGUUUGUUAAGUUGAAUGUGAAAGCCCCGGGCUCAACCUGGGAACUGCAUCCAAAACUGGCAAGCUAGAGUAUGGCAGAGGGUGGUAGAAUUUCCUGUGUAGCGGUGAAAUGCGUAGAUAUAGGAAGGAACACCAGUGGCGAAGGCGACCACCUGGGCUAAUACUGACACUGAGGUGCGAAAGCGUGGGGAGCAAACAGG